GUGGCAGAACAACAGAUUUUUUACUUGACAGUUCAGGGAUUUGAUCCAGCAACCUUUCAGUUACUGACCAAACACUCUAACCACUGGGCUACCUGCCGCCUGCAGUUUGUAUGUUUUACACGGACUGUUUAAAUAAUGAACCUGGAAUGUCUUGCCAGUCAGAUACUGUGUUUUAUGUUUGUCCUAGAUAUACUGUAAAAGGCCCGGACCCUCUCUGUGCUGUGUGAAUAGCAGGUUGGCAUUUUUUGGGCUGACUUAUGUACUGGAGGCAGCUCUGCAGGGUAGUCACUAGCUGGCACAGCCACAAUGUCAUAAAAUCAGAUUUUAAACCUAACCUUAACCGAACUGCUAACCUUAUGCUUAACCUUAAGGUUAAGCAAAAAAAAACAUGUUUUUGUUUUCAUUCAUUUUUUACAAUAUAUAGCCAGUUUUGACUUUGUUGCUGGCCCAUUAGUAGAAAUCACUCAGCUCUGCCUCCAGGACAAGAUACAUUCCAAUAAACGUAAACUUCCUGCGCACAUGUGACCUAAAAGUCAGUAGACUUCUCUUCCACCAGAGAUAAAGGCACUGACUUUGCUCCAUUCUCAUGGGGCCCAGGAUCAGCAAGCUGCACCAGGGAGGCUCUACUCCAACUACCAGCGACAGCAUGGAGCACAGACUCCUGCUCCAGGCCUCUGUGCUGCCUAAGGCCCUCUCUGUGACCUCAUGUGCAUCACUGCCCUCCUCCUGCCAGUCUGUCCAGCCCUGCAGGCUAACAUCAACCACAUCCUCCUCUCCCACACCGCCUUCUCCUCCCUCACCUCUCCACUCCGAAGCACAGAGAACCAAUUCUUAAAGAGAGGUUCACUCCUCUUCACUCAUUCCUCCUCUCUUCCCUCUCGGUCCUUUGUCCUCUUCAUCCCUACCACCCUCUAGUGGUGUCCUGCCUCCUACUGGCCUUCCUCCUCCUCCUGUUCUGGAUGAAUAAUGGGAGGAUGAGGAAGGCGGUCUGCCUGUAAGGACGUGCUGUCUUACUCUGAAGAGAUUUGUGUGGAUUCUGACCAGGACAGCCUCAUGGCUGAGGAGAUUGAGGUGUCCACAGAGAUGCAUGUUCUGGACAAGGUAUUGGAUGAAGAGGAGCUGGACCAAAACAUGUCAAUUGGGGAACAGGAGUUUGGUGAGAUAGAGAGGGGAAAAGAUGAACUGAAAGACAAACAGUACAUGGUAAAGGGUCUGCCAGAUGGCCUGACUGUGGAUGGAGCAAGGCUUCUGUUUGGCCGAGCCCCGAAAUAGAAUGACACUGGAGUUUAUGAAUAUGUGGCGAACAACGGCGUUGGGAAAAGGAAAGUAGAAUGUAACAUCACAGUUACAGGUAAGGGGCAAAUGGGCAAAGUUACUCCUGUAUUUUGCUAAGAUCUGAACAGAAAAACAAAACACUGGUCACGUGCCUUAUUUAUUUUACUGCUGCUCUUUAAUUAUUUGUUACAUUUAUUUAUUUUUCUUAUUUUUCUUAACUGCAUUGUUGGUUAAGGGCUUGUAAGUAAGCGUUUCACUGUAAGGUGAAACCUGUUGUAUUGGCGCAUGUGAUCAUUCUUAAUUUUUUUAUUUGAUGCCUGAUUAGUAAUAUUUGUAAUAUUGCUGCCCACUUGUGAUAAUGAUCUGAAAUACAGAGCUCACUAAAGUUGCAACAAACCUGCAUCCUAUAUACAGUGGGGCCCUUUGUUGUCCUUUGACAGCUCUUUGGUCUUGGCCAUAGUGGAGUUUGGAGUGUGACAGUUUGAGGUUGUGGAC